GAUCCUGGCUCAGAUUGAACGCUGGCGGCAUGCCUUACACAUGCAAGUCGAACGGCAGCACGGGAGCAAUCCUGGUGGCGAGUGGCGAACGGGUGAGUAAUAUAUCGGAACGUGCCCAGUCGUGGGGGAUAACGUAGCGAAAGCUACGCUAAUACCGCAUACGUCCUACGGGAGAAAGCGGGGGGAUCUUCGGACCUCGCGCCAUUAGAUGAGCCUAGGUCGGAUUAGCUAGUUGGUGGGGUAAAGGCUCACCAAGGCAACGAUCAGUAGCUGGUCUGAGAGGACGACCAGCCACACUGGAACUGAGACACGGUCCAGACUCCUACGGGAGGCAGCAGUGGGGAAUUUUGGACAAUGGGGGCAACCCUGAUCCAGCAAUGCCGCGUGAGUGAAGAAGGCCUUCGGGUUGUAAAGCUCUUUUGUCAGGGAAGAAACGACUCCUUCUAAUACAGGGGGUUAAUGACGGUACCUGAAGAAUAAGCACUGGCUAACUACGUG
rnacentral:rRNA from 1 species